GCUAUUAUUCGGAAUAAUAAAACAAUUCUCCACUUCCUUGGUAAGGAAGAGGUCGGCGGUUCAAGUCCGCUAAACAGCUCCA
rnacentral:tRNA from 1 species